rnacentral:tRNA from 2 species
AAGUAAUUAGUAUAAUUAAUACACUUGAUUUCGGCUCAAGAACCUGUGGUUAAAGUCCAUAAUUACUUG